rnacentral:rRNA from 1 species
UACGUAGGGUGCAAGCGUUAAUCGGAGUUACUGGGCGUAAAGCGUGCGCAGGCGGUUUGGUAAGACAGAUGUGAAAUCCCCGGGCUUAACCUGGGAAUUGCAUUUGUGACUGCCCGGCUAGAGUGUGUCAGAGGGGGGGUAGAAUUCCACGUGUAGCAGUGAAAUGCGUAGAGAUGUGGAGGAACACCGAUGGCGAAGGCAGCCCCCUGGGUCAAGAUUGACGCUCAUGCACGAAAGCGUGGGGAGCAAACAGG